UGGGGAAUUUUGGACAAUGGGCGAAAGCCUGAUCCAGCAAUGCCGCGUGUGUGAAGAAGGCCUUCGGGUUGUAAAGCACUUUUUGUCCGGAAAGAAAUCCUUGGCUCUAAUACAGUCGGGGGAUGACGGUACCGGAAGAAUAAGCACCGGCUAACUACGUGCCAGCAGCCGCGGUAAUACGUAGGGUGCAAGCGUUAAUCGGAAUUACUGGGCGUAAAGCGUGCGCAGGCGGUUUGCUAAGACCGAUGUGAAAAUCCCCGGGCGUCAACCUAGGGCAACUGGCAAUUGGCUGAAUCUGGCAGGCUAGAGUAUGGCAGAGGGGGGUGAGAAUUCCACGUGUAGCAGUGAAAUGCGUAGAGAUGUGGAGGAAUACCGAUGGCGAAGGCAGCCCCGGCAAGUCAACUGACGCUCAUGCACGAAAAGCGUGGGGAGC
rnacentral:rRNA from 1 species